rnacentral:lncRNA from 1 species
CUUGAUUACCAGUUACACCCAUAGAAACUGACAGGUAGAAAUUAAAGUUUGUCUACUCUUACUCUUUCUUGAUAACUCCGACGAAUGCCGGUUUAUUUCUCCGUUUGUUCACUCUCUCUUCUCAAUAAAAUACCUUUGAAAUAAUCCACAAUACAUUUUGUCUCUCCUUGUCUAAGCCGACUAAACUCAGAUUCAACACCACUCAAGGGUUUUAGUUCUGCGGAGAUGAUUGAAAAUGGGAGCUCCUACUUGGAUUACCGGAGCACUAGAGAAGCCACCUGAAAAGACGGAGCCACCCCAGUUUCAGUUUGACUAUCUUUCUUAUGAUUUCCUGAGUCUAGUUGGUGGGUGUUGAUUUUAUUUGGGAAACUUUCCUGGGUCAAAUUAUGUGAUGAUGAUACGUGAUUUGUGUAUGCAACAUUUUUUGUUAUUGAAGUUCAUUGCAUGUUCGAUCAAGACUCUCACUGGAGCUAUGCGUAUAGGUUCUAACAAGCUGCAUCUGUUCGAAUUCUUAGGUAGUGUGAAGUGUGAAGUGUGAUCAUUACAAGCCUACAUAAUAGGUUUUAGUGGAAUGUAUCGAAAUGGCUUUCACCAACCAUUAUAUUUUUUCUGCUGAGAUUUGUGUGACAACCCGUCCCGUGGACUCUAUACGUUCCAUUGUCUUCAGACUGGCUCUUCAGAACAUCGACUCCAACCCCUGCCCUCAUCGACUCUAUAAUUAGGUUGUUGGUGUGCUUGGUGUUACUUGAACCCAAGAUCUCACCCUUUAACAACCCUCCCACACAUUCACGAAUUGAUCUACAUGUCAAUUAGUGACAACUCGUCUCGUGAGAAUAUUGUUAAAGGGUGAAGUCUUGGAUUCGAAGAGUACCAAACGUGCCAAUAAUCUACUUGAGAAGAGCUUUGAGCUUACAAGUGAGGGGUUAGGGUCGAUGCCCUGCAGGACUAGUCUGGGGUCCACGGG